rnacentral:rRNA from 1 species
GACGGACGCUGGCGGCGUGCUUAACACAUGCAAGUCGAGCGGAAAGGCCCUUUCGGGGGUACUCGAGCGGCGAACGGGUGAGUAACACGUGAGUAAUCUGCCCUUCACUUUGGGAUAACCCCCGGAAACGGGAGCUAAUACCGGAUAUGACCGGCAACCGCAUGGUUUGUUGGUGGAAACUUUUUUGGGUGGGGGAUGUGCUCGCGGCCUAUCAGCUUGUUGGUGGGGUAAUGGCCUACCAAGGCUUUGACGGGUAGCCGGCCGGAGAGGGUGACCGGCCACACUGGGACUGAGACAUGGCCCAGACUCCUACGGGAGGCAGCAGUGGGGAAUAUUGGACAAUGGGCGGAAGCCUGAUCCAGCAACGCCGCGUGAGGGAUGACGGCCUUCGGGUUGUAAACCUCUUUCAGCACCGACGAAGCGUGAGUGACGGUAGGUGCAGAAGAAGGACCGGCCAACUACGUGCCAGCAGCCGCCGUAAUAC